rnacentral:rRNA from 1 species
UUGAACGCUGGUGGCAUGCUUAACACAUGCAAGUCGAGCGGCAGCAUGGCUGUAGCAAUACAGUUGAUGGCGAGCGGCGGACGGGUGAGGAACGCGUAGGAAUCUGCCCUAGAAUGGGGGAUAACCCAGGGAAACUUGGGCUAAUACCGCAUAUUAUCGAGAGAUGAAAGGCUUCGGCCGUUCUAGGAUGAGCCUGCGUUGGAUUAGCUAGUUGGUAGGGUAAAGGCCUACCAAGGCGACGAUCCAUAGCUGUUCUGAGAGGAAGAUCAGCCACACUGGGACUGAGACACGGCCCAGACUCCUACGGGAGGCAGCAGUGGGGAAUAUUGGACAAUGGGGGCAACCCUGAUCCAGCAAUGCCAUGUGUGUGAAGAAGGCCUGAGGGUUGUAAAGCACUUUAGUCAAUGAGGAAGGGUGCGCAAGCAUCUUGACGUUAGUUGAAGAAUAAGCACCGGCUAACUCUGU